UACGAAGGGGGCCAGCGUUGCUCGGAAUCACUGGGCGUAAAGCGCACGUAGGCGGAUUGCUAAGUCAGGGGUGAAAUCCUGGAGCUCAACUCCAGAACUGCCUUUGAUACUGGCGAUCUCGAGUCCGGGAGAGGUGAGUGGAACUGCGAGAGUAGAGGUGAAAUUCGUAGAUAUUCGCAAGAACACCAGUGGCGAAGGCGGCUCACUGGCCCGGUACUGACGCUGAGGUGCGAAAGCGUGGGGAGCAAACAGG
rnacentral:rRNA from 1 species